GGCGUGGCGCAGUUUGGUAGCGCGCCUGCUUUGGGAGCAGGAGGCCGCGGGUUCGAAUCCCUCCGCC
rnacentral:tRNA from 1 species